GACCUGGAAUGACACACGUGGGAGUGGGGAUGUGAGGCAGAGGUGAGGGAGCCUCCUCCCCCAUGGUGCUGCAAAGGCCGAGGUGCUGUCACAUGCCGCAGGUACUGCACAGACUGUCCUCGAGGAGCUUAUCCCCCCACCAAAACCAGGAUAAUCCUCACCUAACAGCUGGCACAUAAAGUCUGCAGCAAAAUGAAGUGGAGCUGGGAAGUGCUUUCUGCCACCAGGAGAAGGCAGCAGCCAACCUGGCCUCCUUGGGAAGCUGACCUUACUUCAAUGGAUAUUAAAUUACAGCAAACAAGAUUUUCUAAGAUGAAGGAAUUUUUUUCUUCAUUCCCAUGCAAUCCAUCCAGCUGCAGAGGUCUGCCAUGGGAUACUGCCUGGGAGGAAAGUGUGAGGAAAACCUUUGGGCAGCUCAGGGUCUUGUACAAGCAGAGUCUGUGCUCCAAUCCUCGGACAAGACUGAGUGCUGCUCCCAAAGCAAGUGAGGAGACAGCAGCCCACGUCUCCCAGAGCAGCUGGAAGCUGGGAAAACCUUUACAAGCACAUCAUGCCUUCCAUUACACGCUCAUCCCUCCAGCCUGCCAAGCAGAAAGCAGAACCCGGCUGCUGUGCCUGGCGGCGCCGAGACAAAUGACCAUCAUGAAAGGCAAUUUCCAUCCACUCCAGAGCAAAACCACAUCAGAAGCCCCUUCUGUGGGAGCCAGGCAAGCAGCUGGGCCGUGCCCGACCUCCCACGCACCAGCCUGGCCUGGUCACAGCAGCCCUGGCACCACAGCUCAGCUGACGUGUCGGGUAAGUGGAGGCAAUGCCACAGCUCCCAUCUGCUCCCCAGUGAUGCUCAGACACCCCUGCAUGAGCAGAGGCUUCUUUCAGCCAUGAGCUGCAAAAAAAAGAGAGCCAGGAUUUCCUAGCCUGCUUAUUGGGAAUCAGCCAGCAGCUGUCUGGUGGGAAGGGUGGCAUUGUCCCCUUGGAUUGUGAGGUUGCCAAUGGAUAAUUGUUUCUCCUGGGACAAGGAGGCCUCCCUCCUGCUUCCAGCUCUCAGUGGGAGCAGCCCUGGUUCAUCCUUGCUGGCAGAAGUUUGGGGGAUCCCUCUGUGCAGGAGUAACCUGCAGAAACUGUGGAGGGGACGGAGAAGCAGAUGAAAUUGUGGAGGGGAAGGAGAAGCAGAUGAAAAGGGGCCCAACUCUCCCUACAGAGCACUUAGUGCAGAGGAGGAGGGCUGGGAGGGCACUGGGGGCAUGUGCAGACAGCCCUGCUGAGCUGGCCACCAUCUCCCAUUCCCCAUGCUAAACCAACCCCCUUACACUGGAGGGAAGCUAAAGACUUAACUGGGAUUUCUCUUGUUGGGAGCACACAAGGUGGCUUGAGAUGGUUAUGAGUGCAGGAGACACCUCAGAGCAAGGCAGCAGAGAGGAAAAGCCUUGCAUUGGACCCCAUCCAGCCUUCCCCAGAGCUUUGCUUUUCAGCACAUUUGGUUUCUUUAGUGGUCUUCAUACAAAAUUCCCAAUAUUUUGAGAGAAGAGGCACUGAUCUGGGUGCUGGGGUGCUGCCACACAGUCUUGGUGGCUCAGGGGGCUUUUGGAGCAGCUCAGUGCAGUGCUGGGAACUGCUGCUCCUCCAUUUGGACAAAAUAAACGCAUUUUAGAGAAACUAGGAGAUAAAGGGGGUGAGUUUUGAUCCAGCUCUGCCUGAGCCCACCAAAGCCAGGCUGUGUCCCUCUGCACCAGUGCUUGUAUCACAGGGGAACGACCUCCAGCUGCGGUGGAGGGACUUGGCAGGAGGGACCAAAAAAAAGCUUCUCCAUUGUUCAGGGAGAGCUGGAGCCACAAGCCCCGAAUUUCAGGAGCAGCCUUCACCAUCCGGGUGGAGCGCUGCCAAAUCCCACAGCCUCCCUGCUCUUCCCCGGCCCCGCGCGCGGCUCUGCCGGCGCAGCUUCCCUCGCCGUGGUCCAGCUGCAGAGGGGCUCCUUUCUCCCUUAAAAGGCAGCCAGAGGAAUGUGGCCCGAGAGUGAGAGGCAGGAAAUGGGGAUUUCAGUCCUGUAGCUCUCCUGGAAAUGAUAUUCCUCUCUGCCUGCACGGUUUGAUUUUUUUUCUUUUUUUGGAAGCCCAACACAGCAAGCACCUGGCAGCGGUGUGGUCCCACGAGCCCUUUUUCUUUGCACAAACAUUUUAAAAUAGAGGCGGCAAAAAAGUCCAAGUUUUGUUGAUUGGAAGGAAAGCAGGAUUAUAUGGGAAGCUCCUGUGAUCUGCAUGCCAGGGCACAGCUUCCUGCAGGACCCACUGCACCUUUUGCCAUUAUCUUUGGAAACAGAAAGGGUGGCACUUGAGGAGGAACCUGCA